UGCUGGAUAGUGUAGCGGUUAGCACCUUUGGUUUUGAGCUUAUCUGUUCGGUUCCAAAUAACCCGAGUUCGAAUCUCGGUCCGGCAU